rnacentral:lncRNA from 1 species
UUUUACUACUUACCCUAACUUCACAGGGACUUCUUUAGAUGUGUACGGUUGUCAGAUCAGAAGAUUAAAAUCAAAAGCGUUAACUGAGAAAUCCCUCACAACAACAUGAUGGCAAGUUGAUUUCCUCUUGUAUGGCAACUUCAUAGACUGGGAGUGGCUUCUUGGAGCACAAUAUUGAAAAAGAUAUUAAAGCCAUAUGUGGUCUCGGUGGCAUAUGGUGCUGUGAUCUACUAAGGAUGGGGAAGAAUGCAUGGUGCUCUAAAUGCUAUGUGUUGCUCCACUCAGAAUUAGCAAAUAUGACCCAGUGGCUGUCUUGAUGUCUCACAGCAGGAAGAGACUCUCUCAAAUAGGUGUACACAUGGGGAGAGAGAGAGCAAGGAGACUGAGAUACAAUCAGCCACCAGCAAGUUGUCUUGAUUUUCUGAAUGGAGCGUGGUAGCAUGUUAUAGAGUCCAAGGAAUUUGCCAAAUCCGUGUGAGAAGAUUUGCCUCUCACAUGUGAGAGAAUUUUUUGAGAAAAAAAAGAUCCUGACCCCGUCCCUCUGCCACCACCCGAGUGAGGAAGACUGACAGAGCACAUUGGCUUGCUGUGGAGACAAGAUCAGGGAAAGCGCCCCUGAAAAGAAAGCAUUUUGGAAGUCCUGAAGGUGGAGAAGGAGAUUUAGAGGAAGAGUGAUAAAUCAGAAGUCUUCGUCCAAGAAUUAGCUUUGCACCAUCUACAGACCUAAGCAGCUGCAGGAAUGCCCUCUCCAAACAUGCCUAUCGAAUAAGGUCCUGUUCAUGAUGCAAAUCUCUAUGUGAUCUUCCUCCGGAAUUCUUGAGCCCAUGGUGAGCCAGCUUCGGGAUUGCAACUGAGAAGUGGGACUAUUAAAAGAAAGUCAUGCCCAGGUGGCUCACCAAGCUGGAGAAGGGACAAGAGACCUCUGGAGCUUCGCCUUUAUAGCUGAUUGCUUUUUGAAUCCCAGCCAUCCCAGCCUCCACAGUCUGAAGCAGAAACAUCUCAUCCAAACUGCAUUUGUGUGAGCAAGAAAUAAAUGCAGACAGUUAUAUGCCAAGGAGAUUUUAUAGUUGCUUGUUAUGUAAUAACAAUGACUAAUAGAGAAAUGAUUGAAGAGUACUGAAUCACAACAUUACUAGCUCAACCUGCUCCCCAGAAAAUUGCUAAUAAAGACAAUAAUAACAAGAAUUCCCUCUUAUUAAUGCCUAUCAAAUGCCAGCAAUAACUAGAUGCUUUGCACAUUGUAAUCUCAUUUUAUCCUAGGAAGACAACAACUCUGUGAAGUUGGUGAUCUUAUCCCUAUUUCAUUCCCAGGAAAUUAGGAUUCAGAAAUGGCUUAUAGAUUUUCAGAGAUCACAAAGUUAAGAAGUAUCAAUUCCAAGCUUACAAACCAAAGACUUUAGACUAUAAAAUCCCUACCUGUUAGCUGGUGCCAAUGUGGCAAGAUUUACCUUUACUUCUCUUCAGCUUAUCUUUCCAUCAUUCCAUUCCCACAUUUCCACUCCCAUUCCCCAGCCCAUGUAAUUCCUAUUGAGUGCUGUAACUUUAUUCUAUUUAAUGCUAAGUUGUAAGGGCUCAGAAUUUAAGUUGCCUUUCAUGGUAUCCUAAUUUUGGUAGUAGGGAAUAGAUAGGCAUAGAUGGGGUGAAAAAAUGCGUUCAUAUAUUUGUAGAAUGCUCAUAGCAAAAAACAAAAUGAAGUUAUCUUAACUAUGUCAAAAGUUUUAGUGAAUCCAAAUAAUGUACACACAAAAAAAAUUUUAAAUAAAAGCAAGAGUUGCAUAAGAAACAAAUAUUUAGGAAGAAUUGGGAUGUCUAUCGCCACCCACAAAAUUAGAGAGUUAUUAUAUCCCCUGAUUGUAGAUCAGGAACAGUAGUCAAAGGGAUUAUUUGAAAAUGCAAAUCUGAUUAUGUCGCUUACAUUUUAAUAGGUAGAGACAGUCAGUAAUUGCUAUGGCCUGAAUGUUUGUGUCCUAAAAUUCAUAUGUUGAAACCUAAUUAUCAAAGUGAUGGUAUUAUCAUGUAGGCCUCUGGCAAAUGAUUUGAUUUUGAAGAUGGAGCCUGUAUGAAUGGGAUUAGCGUCCUUAUAAAACAGACACAAGGAAGCUCAUUGGCUCUUUCUACCCUGUGAGCAUGCAAAAAGAAGGUACCAAUUAUGAAGCAGAAUGUGGGUCCCCACGAGAUGCUGAAUCUGUUCAUACCUUGAUUUUAGAUCUUCCAGCCUGUGGAAAUGUGAGAAAUAAAUUUUUUUAAACCACGUAGUCUAUGGCAUUUGUUAUAGCAGCAUAUACAGAUUAAGGCAGUAAUUUUACAGAUUGGUAGGUUUUAGAAAGAGACACAGGUUUUGAGGAAACUUGUGUCCCUUUUGAAAAGGGUGUUCCAGACAUAAGGAAUAUUCAGUGCAAAGGUGUUAAGGCAAAAGAGUGUAUCUAAUAUUUUCCAGGAACGUUAAAGGCAGUAUGUCUGGAAAGAGUGCAUUGUUGUAGGAUAAUAGGAGAUAUUAUCAGAAAGAUAAGAAACAGACAGAUCACAUAAGGCCCUCCGGGUUAUUUUAAGGACUCUGGCUUUAUCCUGGAUGAAGUGGUGAAUGGUUACAAGGUUUUGGACAAGAAUAAACUGAGGGGAGAGUGUCAGAGUAGGAAUAGGGAGACAAGUUUUAAGGUUCAGACAAGGGAUUUAGAAAAAUAAAUGAGAAGAGGUAGUUGGAUUUUUUAUCUGUUUUGAAGAGAGCGUGAUUUCCAAAUAAAUUAGAGGUGGGAAUAAGAAAAACAGAGUUGAAAAUGACUGCAAUGUCUUAAGCCUGGGCAGUUGGAAGGAUUGUCACCUUAAACUAUGAUGGGGAAGGAGGUAGGUGGAUCACGUUUUGAGGGGGAAUAUUAGAAGUUCAGUUUUGGAUAUGUUUAUUUUACAUUGUAAGCAGAGAUUCAAGAGUGGAGAUAAAUUUAUAUACCUGGUGUUGGUGGGAGAUGAAGAUAUAGAUGUAGAUUUUGGAGUCAUUUGCAUACUGUUACAAACUAAGUCAUGAGAAACAUAAAAGAGUGAGUAUAGAAAGAAAAGAAAAGACAUGCAAACGGUAAGCCUAAAGUCCUCCAAUAUUAAGAUGUAUGAGACAUAAAGAGGAAUGCCAGGCUGCACUGGGAAUGAGUAACCAGUGAAGUAAGAGAAAAACCAGGCUUUAAUGUCCUUAAGCCCAAUCAAGAAAGUGUAUGAAGGAGAAGGAAUUGAUAGUCUGUACGUCCAGUGAGAUAACUGAACAUUGACUAUCACAGUUAGAAUCAUGGAGGUCAUUAAGAUCAUCGCUAGUAAAAGUUGUGGUGGGAUGAAUGCAUGGUGAAUAGAAAGGAAUUAGAAACAGUGUGUUUAGACAACCGUUACGGGAUUUCUGCUGUACCAGCUAGCCAAGAAAUGGAGCAGCAGCUAACGGGAAAGUAGGAUCAUGGGAAAAAAUGUGAUCGAUGAAGUAACAAUCAGCUGUUUGCUGAUGAGAAUGAUCCUCAAAGGAAGAAAACAAAUAAUGAUUUAGGAGAAAAAGAUAAGAAUUGCUGGCUGGGCCCGGGGUCUCACGCCUAUAAUCCCCACACUUUGAGAGGCCAAGGUGGGCGGAUCACUUGAGGUCAGGAGUUUGAGAACAGCCUGGCCAACAUGGUGAAACCCCAUCUCCACUAAACAUACAAAAAUGAGCUGGGCAUGGUGGCACACUCCUGUAAUCCCAGCUACUCGGGAGGCUGAGGCAAGAGAAUGGCUUGAACCUGGGAGGUGGAGGUUGUAGUGAGCUAAGAUUGCACCACUGCACUCCAGCCUUGGUGACAGAGCAAGACUCUGUCUCAAAAUAAAUAAAUAAUUGCUUCAAUGACAUCCUCAGAUGGAGAGAGUUGCUAGGGUGAUGUCCUUAACUAAGCAAAAGCAAAUGGAAGCUUAAGCACAAGUGGGGGAUUUGGCUGCAUACAGAAACAUAGGAAGUUUGUCUGUGGUAACUGGUUUGGUGUCAUUUGUUUAACAAAGUUCAACCCACACAACUGUACGGUCCUUCAGAACAGAAGACAGAAGCCCUGUCUGUCUUAUCAACCAUUUCAUGUCCAUGGCCUACAUAUUACCGGGCACUGAGUAGAAACUCAGCAUAUAGUUAUUGAAGAGGGAUGGACAGAUGAAUCAAUGUACACAUGGAUGAGCUUCACAUAGUAAAUAAGUCUCCUCCCACUUUUAGUGUAAAAGAUGCAGGUUCAUUGUUUAUUUGCAUUCUACAUAGAAGCCAAUGACGUGGUCUGAGCACUUAAAAGCAUUAUAUGAAAUGAACCAACCCAC